UACGCCGUUUGCGUGGCCGCCUCCGCGCAGGGCCGCGCGAGCGCCGGCGGCGGCGGCGGUUGCGCAGUGUGGCCACAUCCGGGCGCCGGGGCAGGAUGAAUGCUCCUUUCCAAGAUGGCGGCGGAGGGAGGAGGGAAGGAGAUGAACGAGAUUAAGACCCAGUUCACCACCCGGGAGGGGCUGUACAAGCUGCUGAGCCACUCGGAGUACAGCCGGCCCAACCGGGUGCCCUUCAACUCGCAGGGCUCCAACCCGGUGCGCGUUUCCUUCGUCAACGUCAACGACCAGAGCGGCAACGGCGACCGGCUCUGCUUCAAUGUGGGCCGGGAGCUCUACUUCUACAUCUACAAGGGGGUCCGCAAGGCUGCGGACUUGAGUAAACCAAUAGACAAAAGGAUAUACAAAGGAACACAACCUACAUGCCAUGACUUCAAUCACUUAACAGCCACAGCAGAAAGUGUUUCUCUUCUAGUGGGCUUCUCAGCAGGCCAGGUCCAACUUAUAGACCCUAUUAAAAAAGAAACUAGCAAAUUAUUUAAUGAGGAAAGACUAAUAGACAAGUCCAGAGUAACCUGUGUAAAAUGGGUACCAGGUUCGGAAAGCCUUUUCCUAGUAGCUCAUUCCAGUGGCAAUAUGUACUUAUAUAACGUGGAGCACACUUGUGGUACCACAGCCCCGCACUACCAGCUACUUAAACAAGGAGAAAGUUUUGCAGUUCACACUUGCAAGAGUAAAUCCACAAGAAACCCUCUGCUUAAAUGGACAGUAGGUGAGGGUGCCCUGAAUGAAUUUGCCUUUUCCCCAGAUGGGAAGUUCUUGGCCUGUGUGAGCCAGGAUGGUUUUCUUCGUGUGUUUAACUUUGAUUCGGUGGAAUUGCAUGGUACAAUGAAAAGCUACUUUGGAGGACUGCUGUGUGUGUGUUGGAGUCCUGACGGGAAAUACAUAGUGACAGGUGGAGAGGAUGACUUGGUAACAGUUUGGUCUUUUGUGGACUGUCGAGUAAUAGCGAGAGGCCAUGGACAUAAAUCGUGGGUCAGUGUUGUUGCAUUCGAUCCGUAUACCACUAGCGUAGAAGAGAGUGACCCGAUGGAAUUUAGCGGCAGUGAUGAGGAUUUCCAAGACCUUCAUUUUGGCAGAGAUCGAGCAAAUAGUACGCAAUCUAGGCUAUCCAAAAGGAACUCUACAGACAGUCGUCCAGUAAGUGUUACGUAUAGAUUUGGUUCGGUAGGCCAGGACACGCAGCUCUGUUUAUGGGAUCUUACAGAAGAUAUCCUCUUCCCCCACCAACCUCUUUCAAGAGCAAGGACACAUACAAAUGUCAUGAAUGCCACAAGUCCACCCGCUGGAAGUGGUGGAACUAACCCAGGAAGUAAUGGAAACAGUAUCACUACACCUGGAAACUCUGUACCCCCUCCUCUUCCACGGUCAAACAGCCUUCCACAUUCUGCAGUCUCAAAUGCUGGCAGUAAAAGCAGUGUCAUGGAUGGUGCCAUUGCUUCUGGUGUUAGUAAAUUUGCAACCUUAUCGCUACAUGAUCGGAAGGAAAGACACCAUGAAAAAGAUCACAAGAGAAACCAUAGCAUGGGACAUAUAUCUAGCAAGAGCAGUGACAAACUGAACCUAGUUACUAAAACCAAAACGGACCCAGCUAAAACUUUGGGAACACCUCUCUGUCCCAGAAUGGAAGAUGUUCCCUUGUUAGAGCCUCUUAUCUGUAAAAAGAUAGCACAUGAAAGACUGACUGUGUUAAUUUUUCUUGAAGACUGUAUAGUCACUGCUUGUCAGGAGGGAUUUAUUUGCACAUGGGCAAGGCCUGGUAAAGUGAGAUAAAGUAUGCAGUACCAAAAAUCAGGAUUUAUGUAUUGGCCAAUAUGGAAAACUUUAAUGACAGUCCUUAGGUGGUCUUUUGCUAUCAUACUGUGCUGAACAAAUGGCCACAAUGAAAACUGUUAACUUGCCAUAUUUUGAAGUAAGAAGUUGAUUGCAUCCUGUAACCUGCUCUGAGUAAAUGUUUCACUUCAACUCAAGAUAAUACAUACAUUUUUGAUGUUUAAAUCUUGCUGAUAAGGUCAUGUCUUCUGAUAUUUUUCUAGGACUUAGAUUAAUAUGAAAUAGAAUACUUAUAAAAAAUCAAAUUUGUUCAAACUCAGAUUCAGUAAAACACAGACAUGUAUGUGUCUAGAUUCGCUCGGCCUAGCCAUCAGAUACGAGCUGGGGCUGAGUGUUUUCUCUUCCUUCUAGGACUCUACAGGAGCUCUUUCCUCUGUGGACUCAGGUGCAGGGUAUGUUGUUUAUUCCAGCUUUAGACAUUGCCAUUUACCUAAAGAAUGCUGAAUUUACAGCCCUGAGGAUAUGGCUCGCUUGGAUGAUUCAAGUGUUUUCAGUCUAGAAAAGCUUUGGCUAGUCUAGAACUUCACUUAUCUGAACUCAUCUGAACAGUCUAAGCCUUUGGCUACAAAAUUUCUUGAGACCAAUUUAGGCAAAGAAAAAGAAGGUGCACUUGUAUCUGAGCAAAUUUCGCCCUUGCAGCAGCAGCACUGUGUGCUGAAGGAACCAAAAAAGUGACACCUCAGUGUUUCAAAGGCACUUCUGAGAAAUUUCAGUGAAAAAGUUACUUACUUUGAGUCCUGCCUAACUGAGGUAGAACUCUUCAUCUCUUAGGAAAAAAAUCCUCUGUAGUCUAAAGCUGAGGAAAUAAGCUAUCUAUCUUGUAAGAACUUGAGAAUAUUUGGUACUUCAGGAGGUACUGACUGACCACUACGAUGGUCUACAUGUAAUAUAUGUAUAUUUAAGAAUAUACAGGAGCCAAUGGAUGAACAAAAUAAAAUCUGUCCUGAAAGCUUGUGUGAACAGCUGAUUACAUCAAAUGAUGCAAGAAUUGCUUGUACAAACCAGUUUCUCAACAGUCAGUGUGAACAUGAAAUUUAACCAUCUUCCACACCUUCUGUAGUGACAGAAGAUGACAAAAAAUGUCUCGGAAGAUGGAAGUAUCUUCUUGCUUUUAUUGCUUUUAUUGUAUAAUGUUGCACAAACUUAUCAAGGAAAUAACUUGUUUGAUAACCUUAUUUUCUGUAUUUAAAGUUGGAUUUUAGGUAGGUGCCGAUCAACUUACUAACUUCAUUUUUGAUCACUUCUCAUUCUGUGAUCAUGCUUACUUUACAACUACCCAAAAUGGGGUUGCCUUAAGUCAUCUGCUUCUUCCCCAAUUCUUCUCCUGGUUCAUUUCAAUUUCAUUAUUUCCUAAUCUGAAAAGUUUAAACUUUACCAUAGUUUAAAGAGGCUAGAGAAACUGUUCCUAACCAUUGGAGCCUGUACUACCUAAAUGAAGCUUAAGUUCCUAUCAUCUGAGUCAAAUCCAGCUUCUGUUGGUAAAGCCUUUUGUGCUUUUCCCAGUGUGCACUUAGUUGCAUCUUAUUUUUUUCUCCUCUUGAAGAUGCUUAUCUUCCACUGCCAACUAUCACUAUAGGUUAAGAUUUUUUUUUUACUAGGCUGCUAGUUUUCUGUCAGCCUUGACUUUUCUUUCUGUUGACCAUGAGCAACAAAAAGGGUGAUUUGUUGAGAGGUGAUACACCUCUCUUAGAAGAAAAACUCCUUACGUAUACAGAAGUGAAGUUGCACGAGCAGUCUCCCUGUUGCUACUACGUGCUUUUACAAGAUCUGGUAUGUCGUAUGCUUUAAGAAUUUACUUUUCUGUAACUCCACGAAAAAUAGUAAAGCCAACCAAAGACAAAUAAUGCAUUUAAACCUACAUAAAGGGAACAGAUAGGCAAUGCAGAGAUGGGUAUUGGCUUGGCUCUUUCCCCCUGAAUCCAUACACAUUCCUCUAUAGUAUGUUUUGUUAAUGUUCAGCAGGCACUUCCUUGAAUGGUCUCAAUUUUGACUCACUGAUUUACUAUCUGAUUUAAUCUAUAUAAGUAGUUCAAAGACUUAAGCUAAUAAGUGCUGACUCAUCUGCGUAAGAAACGUGGACAUUUUGUUCAUACAAAUCUUAAUCCAAUUAAGCUGGUUCGACUGCAGGAUUUCAAAUGUGAACAGUUUCAUUCUGUUUGAGCAUAUUAUUGCUCAGAUUCUGCAUUGGACUGUGGGCUCUUUUGUCUCAGUCCAGAUACCUUUUUUCAAGUGACUCCAAGAAUAUCACGAUUUUGAACAAGAAUAAACUACAUGUGGAAUACUCUUAACAAUAAAUGCAAUUAUUAUCUGAAUAGCAGUAAUGGCUUAACAAAUCAAUGCCAUGUUUGCAUGGGCAUUCGUUAGGUCAGCUGUUGCUGGUUUAAUUGCAUUAGUGAAGUGUACUGUGAGACCUUUUAGCCUGUAUCUGCCUAAAAGGCUUGUUUAAUACCUGUUGUAUUUGUUACAGUGGACUGUUUGCUUUUCUUUCUACUUUCCAAUUUCAAAACAGCAGGAAAGACAGGCAGGGUUCUGACAUCCUGCAUGUUUCUGAGGCAGCUGCUCUGUUUUACUGUCCAGGGCGAGCACCGAGUGCGUGCCAAGAGAGCUGUGAAUUAGCACAUAAGCAGUAACUUUACAGUAACCUGCCCACGUGUCCGAACUUGCAGUUUAAUAUCUGGACUAGUGAAAUCUUUGGCUCCAAUCAGUUCUGUUCUAAUUUACAAGAAGAAAAUACAAAGUCUGUAGUUACUGAUGGCUUUUAUUCUAAGUAGCAGUGUCUUCCUGGCUCAUUUUUUAAAUGCAGCAGUUGUGUCCUGAUCUCUCACACACUUAGUUUCUGUUGGGAAACUUUGUGUUUCGUAUUAUUGCCUGGGGAAACAAACAAACAAACUUUGUGCAUAUGUGGAACUUCUUGAAAAACAAACCCCUGCAAUCUCAUGCGUUGUGAGGAGGGCUGGUCCUCUCGCUGCUGCAGGUCUUUCUGAACAGACCACGGGUGUGACUGCUCUGUAACUCGGAUGGGAGCAAUCUUACCUAUCAUAUUUGUUACGGCUUUUUCUGCCUACCAGUAUGUCUUAAGGUUUUUACUAAAUAUGCAAAGUCCUGUGAGUUUUGGGAAGUCAGAGAGCAUGCAUAGAUUAAUGUGGUGCAGCAGCUUGCCCUAGCAGCACUGCUGAAAUGGUGUUUAAUGCUCUUACAUUGCUAAUUGUCAUAAGGCAAACGACAGUCCUCCACCAGAGAAGUGUGUUCGAACAGUAUUCGAACAGCAGAGUAUGCUGUUGAGAUGGCAGAUGAUGCAACACCUACUUGUAGGACUCUUGCUGAGGUUGUAAUGAAGGUUGCCUUAUCAAAUUCCUGGCUUGGCUCCAUUUCCAACCCCUGCUAGACCCAAAAUAAUACUGCUAAUAAAAGGCUGUGUUUGUUUUCAAAACUGUUUUUGAACAGUCUCUUAAUGUGUCUCUGCUGCAUGCUCAGUGUGAUGUUUGUUCUUAAACUUCAGCUGAUGCAAUGUACAGCACAGCAGAUCCGGAGCUGUCGUAUCGCAAUUCCUCAUGUUUUAAUCCUUCACGUUUUCUGUCACUGCUAUUAAACUGUGCAGCUUUGCUCUGAGUUACUGCAGCUUUUGUUCCAUCCUUCACCACCUGCGUGGUUUAGCCACAGAAAGCACCGCGGGCUAACUUCUUUAUCUUAUGUAUCCAUGCAGGAACUUUCUAGACUUUUUUUUUUAAUAACCUUACUCGUAUUAUUCCCAGAGAAUGUCAUUACAAGUGUUCUAGGCCCACACCCAGAUUACAGACCAGACUCUUAUAUGGUAAUUUUUGUAUGAAAACUUAGCUUUUUUUCCAGCUGUCACAUGCUUUUCUAAAACUGGCUUUCCAGAGCUUACUAUGUUGUACUUAACUUCUUCAUAAUGGCAAAGCUCCAUGGGAUCUUUCUUGUUACUCAGGACCCACCCAGAACUCUUAACUCAAUUCUGUAAAACUUUUAUGCCUAAAUGCCAAAUUUUUAUUCUUGCUUUCCUUAUAUGAACAUCUGAGGUCUCAGAUGGUCACCUUAUGAAGUUGAGUACUUGGAAGAACUUGCAGCAUUUCUGAUCUCUGUCACACAAGCAAACCUCUGGGAUGGCCAUCUCCUCAUUGUAGCUUGACCAAGUUUUAAGGUGCUGCUUCCUAAGUUUAUGGAAGUUUUUGAAAUGUCUUGAUCCUGACAUUGUUUCCGCUUUACUGACCCUCUCCCCUGCCUGCCCAGAGUUGUAGAAUUCAUUUAGAACAAGGCUUGAAAUCUGAGUUCCAAAGCACGGUGCUCUGGCUUUCUAAACCAGGAAGCAUUCAUGGGGUGGGAGAUGCAACCAGGACUGAGCAAAUCCUUGUUCCUAGUCUUGGAACUUAAAUUCCAGAGUUGCUAGUAGUUUUUUGGGGAAUCAGGCUUCACACUACGUGUCAGUAUGUGCUACCUGUUUCUAGAGCAGCUGUAGGAUGAGUGGCUUUAUUUUGUUUGCCAACAAUCAGCUGCAUUACAGUGUAAAUGUGGUGGUAGAAUAGUGCUUAUUUCUUCUGCUUAUGUAGCAUGGCUAUGAUCCUGUUGAAAAAGGCUUCAUAUUACACCAUCCCUAGUACUUUUUUGUGUGUGCUUAUAAAGAAUGCUUGCAUAUGAACAGUUUGGAUUAUUGAUUUAUUAAAGACUGAAAAUAAGACUUUUGGGACAUCUUUUUUGAGGGUGUGUGAAACUUGCUCAGUGGACGUAGUCUUCUUGUGAGAAUGACCUUCCAGUUGUUGCUGGAUUUAAUAGACUUCUGAGGAAUGCUUUGAUAAGCAAAUUAUGGAGUUCUGUUUUGUCUUCAUCUCUUUUAAACAAAGCUUUCUUGAUAAACAUUUUCAGAAAUGCUUCACUAGCUUGUUUUCUCUAAAAUUCUACCUUUUUGCUACUCCUUAACUAAUAACAAUAAAACUGUCUUUUCUUCUUGUUACAUAUGCAGUAUCUUUGCAAAGCCUGAAUGACACACAGGUUUAAAGACCAACCCAUAUCAGUCUACCUCAGCAGUGUUUGAACCAGAUAUUCACAAGAUAUUCAUAAGUGCCACAUACAUUUAUUAUAUAUAAAUGUAUAUAAAAGUGUAUACAUACACACGUGCCCACACACUUUGCUAUAAAUCCUACAAAUAUAUCUGGAUUUGUGUGUUGGAAUUGGUGGAAUAGAUGUGGGGUUUUCUUUUUUAAUUAAAAAAAAGUUUUGAUUUUAGUCGAAACUUGGUGACUUGAAUCCAGCCAAUCCAGACCUCCUUCCACUUCUUUGUCUGUGGUCAGGGUUUUCUUCCAUCAGUAGUGACAUUUCAGUUCUGGGAUCCAAGCAAGAAAGAGCUCCUGUAGAUUCCAAAGCUGUAUGCAUUCUGCAUUCUAUGUUAGUUGCUGCCUGAACUUGUCUGGUUUGAUGGAUCUGAGUCACAGGAUCUUAAUUUUGAGGUAAGAAAUUAAGCUGGUAGCUAUCUAGCGGAAUUGCUAAAAGUGCAUUUGCCAUGCCUGCAUAGUAAGAGUUGCUCCAUGAUACUCAUUGGUGAUACUCAUAAGCUUCCAGCUUAGCUGCCGUGGUGGUGCAAGUCUGCUGGCAGUUGUUAUAACAAUGACAUUGCAAGAAGAUGAAAUUGCAUUUUGAUAUUAAGCUUUUCCUAUAUAAGUCUGGCAUACGUUUUUUAUGUGAAUAACUAAAAAUGGGCUACUAUACAUAAAUGAAAACUGGGAUCUGUCGCCUACAGUAUAGUUGCCUUAAUAUGGAACCGCAACCCCUGUCUAGCUUGGGGUGCCGCACAGUAGCAGCAUUAUGCUUGAAAUAAAGUCAGUCUCCAUUUAUUGGAACGGUAAUGCAGUUUAAAGAAAAAAAUCCUGAAUGCAAGCUUAAAUUGUAAUGGGAAACUUCUACUGAACUCCUACUUCGUGUUUCAUUCUCCUUUACAAUUACCAAACUAAGUAUUUGGUUAGAUAAUCUAUUUUUCUAAUUAAAGCUUGUAAUAUUCAGUGGCAUAUAAGAGAUUGAGCAUUUCCCUGUAUCAGGUUAGUUGUCAAACUUGUUAAUAUUGAAAUAGGUUUGUUUGUUGCUACCCUAAUAAAAUGAUGAUCACUUUUUUGGUGUAUGAUUUUUAAAGUUGUACAGCUCACAAUGACUCAAAGUGCAAGGUAGACUGAAAUCGAGUGCUCGCAUCAGUUUCACCGUGUGUCAGGAACACAGGCACUUUCUGCCUUACUGAACGCUUUGGUGUGUGCUGCUUGACUGAUACAACAGUGGCUUAGAUUCUUGUAGGAGGGGAGGUGCUGAUACUUACAGUAAGCAAGUGGUGGUAAAAAUAAAUUGUACUUUAGCUUCAGGAUAAUAAUUUUAUAAAAUUACUGUCAGGUUCUCUUGCUGGAUUAAUGUAAACUGCUUUGUUUGCAGGGUUUAUUGUCAUCCCAAAACCAGGCCAAUUCUCCAAGUGGAACUGUAGUAUAGCCAUCACACUACUGCUAGCAAAUCUCUGAACACAGGACAAGAAGUAAUGACAAUGGAACCAGGAGCUGUUCUUCAGGCAAAGAGCAUCACAAAUUAUAAUGUGGCAGAGUGUAAACAUGGAAUUAUGUGAAUCACAUAGUAAUUUGCAAAGGAAUAAUGUAAUGAGUUCUUAUUACAGCUACUACUGCUAGCUGCUCACCCAAGGAAGAGUUUUCAUUUAAAAACAAAACAAAAAAAAAAGCUUCCUUUGGUGCUGCAGAAAAAAAAAUAGUAACAUUUUUGGUUUUCUUUAUACUUUUAAAGUCCAGUGUAAUUUAAUCUAUAUAUAUAAAUAUAUAAAUAAAAGAUAUAUAUAUAUAGUGUAAAAUAAAGUAUGUUUCUUAAAUCCAAGUAAGUUCAAUGGUUAAAUUAGUACUUCACCAUUGUUUAUUUUGCACUGAUUUUUUUAACCAGAGAUGGCUAGAAGACAGCCUGGAAUGCACUCGUAGAAAAUGAAAGUCAUUACUUUCUGGCUUCAAAAUGUUAUUCAGGAAGAUGGAUGCUGCAAUCUUAGAUUUUUAAAACAAAAUUGUUUUGCACUUAAAUAGUUUAAUGCUAAUAGAAAAUUACUUUAAAUCUGGUGUCCAAACACCAGAAAAACUAUGUUGUGGAGAAAAGAUCCUUUGUAUCUAUUAAACCUUUAUUUUAAUAUUGUUGUUUCCAACUGCAAUCAGCUCUGUAUUAUAUGUACAAAUAAUGUAAUUCAGUGGUGGGGGAGGGGAGUAAUGGAUCAUUACACUAGAACUUCUCAUUCAUUUAAGAAAGUGAUAUUUCUAAUUCAGAAAAUACAUAUUAAACUAUCUUGAAUAUGCA